rnacentral:rRNA from 1 species
AGAGUUUGAUCCUGGCUCAGGACGAACGCUGGCGGCGCGCCUAACACAUGCAAGUCGAACGAGAGAGAGGGAGCUUGCUUCCUCAAUCGAGUGGCGAACGGGUGAGUAACGCGUGAGGAACCUGCCUCAAAGAGGGGGACAACAGUUGGAAACGACUGCUAAUACCGCAUAAGCCCACAGGUCGGCAUCGACCAGAGGGAAAAGGAGCAAUCCGCUUUGAGAUGGCCUCGCGUCCGAUUAGCUAGUUGGUGAGGUAACGGCCCACCAAGGCAACGAUCGGUAGCCGGACUGAGAGGUUGAACGGCCACAUUGGGACUGAGACACGGCCCAGACUCCUACGGGAGGCAGCAGUGGGGAAUAUUGCACAAUGGGGGAAACCCUGAUGCAGCGACGCCGCGUGGAGGAAGAAGGUCUUCGGAUUGUAAACUCCUGUUGUUGAGGAAGACAAUGACGGUACUCAACAAGGAAGUGACGGCUAACUACGUGCCAGCAGCCGCGGUAAAACGUAGGUCACAAGCGUUGUCCGGAAUUACUGGGUGUAAAGGGAGCGCAGGCGGGAAGACAAGUUGGAAGUGAAAUCUAUGGGCUCAACCCAUAAACUGCUUUCAAAACUGUUUUUCUUGAGUAGUGCAGAGGUAGGCGGAAUUCCCGGUGUAGCGGUGGAAUGCGUAGAUAUCGGGAGGAACACCAGUGCGAAGGCGGCCUACUGGGCACCAACUGACGCUGAGGCUCGAAAGUGUGGGUAGCAAACAGGAUUAGAUACCCUGGUAGUCCACACCGUAAACGAUGAUUACUAGGUGUUGGAGGAUUGACCCCUUCAGUGCCGCAGUUAACACAAUAAGUAAUCCACCUGGGGAGUACGACCGCAAGGUUGAAACUCAAAGGAAUUGACGGGGGCCCGCACAAGCAGUGGAGUAUGUGGUUUAAUUCGACGCAACGCGAAGAACCUUACCAAGUCUUGACAUCCUGCGACGCACAUAGAAAUAUGUGUUUCCUUCGGGACGCAGAGACAGGUGGUGCAUGGUCGUCGUCAGCUCGUGUCGUGAGAUGUUGGGUUAAGUCCCGCAACGAGCGCAACCCUUACUGUCAGUUACUACGCAAGAGGACUCUGGCAGGACUGCCGUUGACAAAACGGAGGAAGGUGGGGAUGACGUCAAAUCAUCAUGCCCUUUAUGACUUGGGCUACACACGUACUACAAUGGCGUUAAACAAAGAGAAGCAAGACCGCGAGGUGGAGCAAAACUCAGAAACAACGUCCCAGUUCGGACUGCAGGCUGCAACUCGCCUGCACGAAGUCGGAAUUGCUAGUAAUCGUGGAUCAGCAUGCCACGGUGAAUACGUUCCCGGGCCUUGUACACACCGCCCGUCACACCAUGAGAGCCGGGGGGACCCGAAGUCGGUAG